rnacentral:rRNA from 1 species
UAGGGAAUCUUCCACAAUGGGCGCAAGCCUGAUGGAGCAACGCCGCGUGUGUGAUGAAGGGUUUCGGCUCGUAAAACACUGUUAUAAGAGAUGAACGUCAGUGAGAGUAACUGUCCAUUGAGUGACGGUAUCUUAUCAGAAAGGGACGGCUAAAUACGUGCCAG